CGAGCGAUAUGCUUGUUUUCUAGGAACAUGUCUAUGAACCAGGAAAAUGAUGCAACUUUUUCAACAAAAAGUUACAAUUUCCUUUCGUAAAAAUGACGUUCAUCCAUAUUUGAAUCAAUCGUCAUUGAGGAGAGGUUCUUCCUAAAGUACAACAUGAAUCAUAACUUAAAAAGGGCAAAAAGAAAACGAAAUAAAGCAAUUGAUCCUACAACUGUAAAUCCAAGCCCAGGAAAGAAAGAAAAGGAAGAAAGGAAUAAAAAUAUUCUUUUCCAAAAACAGAAGGAACAAAAAAAAAUUAAACUAAUCCAGACUUCAGGACAGGCGAAUAUUGCAGCAUUCUCUCUCUAUCAUGGACGUGGUUGUGGAACUUCUAGACCGGUAGCACUAAUUCCAGCCUGUGCAGAAGCAGUUGGUUUAGGGCUGCGUUUAAAUUUAGUCCAAGUGUAGAUCUCAAGAACUGUGACAAUGGCCCCAAGAGAUAUAAGGAUUCCAAUGUAAGCCUGUCUCCAAGUAUCGUUUGGCUUCAAGAUAUUAAUUCCAUGAAAUAUGUUUAUUGAGAUUACAGCAAGCAGUGCAUAACCCAGAAAAUGAUGGUACAUAUUCCAGAAUUUCCUGUACUCGUCAUCCUCCCCCGGUUUUAAACGUAACGCCAACAUUUGUAACGUUGUAAAUGUGAAAAUGAAAAUGGAAUAAAGGCGGUGGAUUUUAAAGAUAUAGAAUUUGGAAAGAUUUCCAAGAACCAAACCAAGUAUCCACCCAGAAGUUCCAAGAAUGUAGCCAAUAAUUUGACAGGAGACAUGAAGAGGAAUCCGCCAGUCAUGAAAAUUUUCCAAUGGAUAUUUGAAAUAUCUCGCUAUAAUCACACCAGAUGGAAGCAAUGUUCCCCAUCCCACAAUGUUUAAGAUGCCAUGCACUGUUCGCAAGUAAUUUUCAUGCUUGCCAACAUGAUGAGCCUCAUCUCUAACCCACAAAUUUAUAGUCUCUGUACUAUCAACGUUCUGCAGGGUUUUGGCAUGCAUCUUAGGCUCCGUGCCUUCUGCCUCAUCUCCAAUUUGCCAGACAUGGUUCAACUUUGAAAUAUUGUAUGCAGCAGGUGGAAGAAUCACUCUAGCCUGUAUUGCGAAGUAGUCUAAUUCAUUUAUAUUUUCCAUUGACAUGUUAUGAAACCCCACUUCAUUCUGCACUUUUUCAUCCAUUUUUUCAGGUUUCAGCUUGCAACCUAUCUUGGUAUCGCUUGUGAUAUUGUAGGUAGUGAUGAAUGUUGAUCCAUCUGAGUUCCAAAUACCUAUCAUUGCCCUGGUUCCAACCAUCUGUGGCAUCUCGUCUGGAUUGACCCCCCAGGCUAGCCAUCCAAAUCCUGUAUGUAGUCUCGUGCCGAAGAGAAUUUCUAUCUGCUGCUCAUUGUUGAUUCGCCAGGCAAAUUCAGCCUCAAGAGUGGUUAAUUUCUUGCAGUAUGUAAAGUUCUUUCUCUGGCUUACAUUUAAGAAAGGCUCACUACAAGGAGUGAAAUGGGCACCGAUUGAGAGAAGGAAGAAUGAGGCUAAGAUCAUGAACAUCACAAACAUGGUGGGGGAAGACAUUUUUUG
rnacentral:misc_RNA from 1 species